rfam:Rhodopseudomonas palustris BisB18, complete genome.
CCAAGAGGACGACCUCCCAAUCACCCAAAUGACGCAGGGACGACCCUG